GACGAACGCUGGCGGCGUGCUUAACACAUGCAAGUCGAACGAUGAACCCGGAGCUUGCUCCGGCGGAUUAGUGGCGAACGGGUGAGUAACACGUGAGUAACCUGCCCUUGACUCUGGGAUAACUGCGGGAAACUGUAGCUAAUACCGGAUACGACCCUCGGCGGCAUCGCCAGGGGGUGGAAAGAAUUUCGGUCAAGGAUGGACUCGCGGCCUAUCAGCUAGUUGGUGAGGUAACGGCUUACCAAGGCGACGACGGGUAGCCGGCCUGAGAGGGUGCCCGGCCACACUGGGACUGAGAAACGGCCCAGACUCCGACGGGAGGCAGCAGUGGGGAAUAUUGCACAAUGGGCGCAAGCCUGAUGCAGCGACGCCGCGUGAGGGAUGACGGCCUUCGGGUUGUAAACCUCUUUCAGCACCGACGAAGCGCAAGUGACGGUAGGUGCGGAAGAAGGACCGGCCAACUACGUGCCAGCCGCCGCCGUAA
rnacentral:rRNA from 1 species